ACAAAAAACAAAAUUUCGGCGAGCAACACGGACGGCGGAGCGCAUGAAAUCGGCGGAAAUUGCGGUCGCGGGAAAUUGUGUCUGCGGAAAAUCGUCGCUGCGAACAAGGCCACAGUGGAUUGUCGAUAUAGAGCCGUGCGAAGCGGAAAAUUUGGUGAAUGAAAAGUGAAAAGUGCGGAAAUGCCAUGAGGUACAUGGAGCUGGAAUAGGUGAAUAGAUAAUUCCACGAAAUACAAGUGCGGGCGAUUUGCGAGUGCGGAGUGUCGGGUGUGUGUGUGAAAUUCACGGCGAAUAAAUAAAUAAAAUUUGUGUACACACACACACGCCUAGUAUCUGUAUAUACACAGCAUGUUGUGAAGUUGCGGCGCAAAAGGAAAGCACGCGAAUAAAACAUAAGAAAAUUUAAUUACGCCUGCGUCUGGGAAAGUGCGUCGUUCUAUUUUGAAAUCGAUACCAAAAUAAAGUACAACAAAAUAGGUGACACAACAACAAUGCCUGACAACGUUGCAAAGGGAUCGGCGACGACUAAAUGCAUCAUUGAGAUCACGUGAAAUGAUCAUCGAGUGCCGCGAAGGUGUGAAAGUAAAAAUCAUGUGAAAAAUGUGAGAAAUAGUGAGGAAUGCUACGUGACAGCAACCACAAAUACUUGCAAACAAAUGAUCAAGAGAGCAACAGAAACAACAACAACCAUACAAAACGACAACAACAACAACGAGAAAAUCAAGAAAAAUGAUAACCUAAAUAAAUCAAAUUGCUAGUCAGAAAAAACAACAAAACAACAGAAACCAGGGAACGAAGCCAGAGAAUGAGAGAGGGAAAUUAAGUUAUAGAAGUGAUCCGAAUUCCGAUCCCGAGUGCAUUUUCUCCCCCUGUCUCUACCUCUCUGCUCCACGGUUUUCCCCGAACCCGAAUUUACAAUUUUUCGGGUUUCCUUCUCCUACCGAAGAAAGCUUUCGCCAAAAGCUGGAAAGAAAGUGCAAAGGCAGCAGUAAAGAAAAUAUUAUCAAAACGUGUUUGAAAUUUAUAACAAUAAAGAAAAGCGAGAGAAGGAGGCGUAUAUUGUCUCUGUCUUUCAUUAUUCUCGCCUGAGGUGUUCUGUGUGGAAAGACUAAAUAACAAUCUCACUACGUAGUGUCCAACCCAUUAGGUAUGCAGAUAAGCUUGACUUUAAUUAUACAAUUUUCUUUUAUCUCACCCUGUUAGUGAGCAAGUUGCAGAUAUGCUUUUUAAGUGAUCAAUCGUUAUUGCUUUCCUGGAAAUCUAAUUUUAGUCGCUGAUUUGUUUGUAUGAACUUUGUUCGUAUCAUUAAUUUUAGUAGAACAAUUGCACUAGUAA